rnacentral:rRNA from 1 species
CGGGACGGGUGAGUAACGCAUGGGUAACCUGCCUUAUACAGGGGGAGUAACAGUCAGAAAUGGCUGCUAAUACCGCAUAAGCGCACAGAGCUGCAUGGCUCAGUGUGAAAAACUACCGGUGGUAUAAGAUGGACCCGCGUUGGAUUAGCUAGUUGGUGGGGUAACGGCCCACCAAGGCGACGAUCCAUAGCCGGCCUGAGAGGGUGAACGGUCACAUUGGGACUGAGACACGGCCCAGACUCCUACGGGAGGCAGCAUG